GGUUGCGAUUAUACCAGCACUAAUGCACCGGAUCCCAUCAGAACUUUGCAGUUAAGCGUGCUUGGGCGAGAGUAGUACUAGGAUGGGUGACCCCCUGGGAAGUCCUCGUGUUGCAACCC
rnacentral:rRNA from 1 species